GUUUAAAGUAUAUAUUUGGAAAGCGCCGUGAAAGUCGGCGGAACUGCCGGUACUGUUAUAUCCAGAAAACAAAUAUAUAUUAUCCGUCAAACGGAGGAGCCCGAGCAGGCAGUAAACAUGCACCUCUCGGGAACGGGAGGUUUUUUUAUUGGAAG
rnacentral:ncRNA from 24 species